rnacentral:lncRNA from 1 species
AUUCCUACCUCACAGGGAUGUUGUGAGGCUACAUCCAUUUGUUUUCUCUCUCUCUCUCUCUCUCUCUCUCUCUCUCUCUCUCUCUCCUCUUCCCUCCCUCCCUCCCUUUCCUUCCUUCCUUCCUUCCUUCCUUCCUUCCUUCCUUCCUUCCUUGUUCCUGGUUUGUCCAGCACUUUGUAGCCGUGAAAGGAGAAGGGACAUUAAGAGCAUACAAUAUUCAUGGAUUAACACGGUAUUUGAAAGCUUUGUUUUCUAGUAAGGAAAUGGUAUCUGACUGUACAUAAAUAUAACCUUCUAUUUGGAAAUGAUAAAUAGGUUUAUAUUUUCAAAUAUCUCAACAAUAACAUCAUUUGACCAAAGAAUAAUUUAAGGCACAAAGUAUAGAGAUAUUUUUUAACUUAUAUUUUCAUCAACAGCUCGAUUUUAUUAACCAUAGUUCUCAGUGAAUGAAAAUCUUCAGAGUGAUUUUGGCCAAAUAUGUCAACAUUGCAAUAUGCGUGUCAGUCAAAGUAUUUGGCGUAUAAGAUUCACUUUUAGCACAUACUUGUUCUUCCCUUGGCAUAUCUGGCUGUGUUAAUGGUGAUUUUUUUUCCCCAGUCUAACAGGCACCCAUCUGAAAAUAUAUUUCAAGUGAUUUUGUACUUUGUUCAGUAAUAAGAAGGAAGAUCAUCUUGUGUACUUUGAUCUCAUGAAGUGAUUCCUUCUCAACAACUACUAUUAAAGCAUUUCUUUCAGAAUAGUUUAUGUGGUCUGGCUUAAUAUACAUUACUUGUUUUUAUCUCCACUCAUGUAUUUGUCCCAUCGAUUGCUGCGUGUUAUCACAUUUCAAAAAAACCAGUACAUCCUUAUUGUAAAAAUGUUUUUUGAUUUGUAAGUGAGUACAGGUCCAAGAGACUGGUAAACCGGGAAUUUAGCGUUUGUAGAGAAUAGCUUAAAUAUUUGGAUUAUAGGCAAGGAAGAGAAAUUAUAAAUGAAAAGUGUUUUCUAAGGAGAGCAGAAUCUUGGAAGGCAGUUGUUGGAAGUCAUCUGAAACCUUCAUCCUGGCAUCCAUUUCCAGUGGACGUCAAACAAACCUGAUCCCAUAAACUCAAAGGAGGAAGUGGGAUGUUGUGUCUGAUGCUUCGUACAAGCAGCUUCGCGGAAUUUCACAGAAUAACCCCUGCUAGUUAAUCAUAGGAAUGUCUGCAGCUGGUAGACCCACAGCACAGCAGCUUUAUCUGAGCACGUACCAGGAAAUACACCUGAAGCACUGACGCUCAAUUUUGUUCAUUUGUGGUAAACUUUGUGAAAGAAUAUAAGUUUAACAAGUGGUUUGGAGGGUUAGAUAUCUAGCUUGUAAGUCAAUUACCAGAGGAGAGUCUCAGUGUCAGACUCAAGGCAUAUAGCUACUGCGCUCCAUCAAUAUACCCAGAUGAAGGCAUUAGAACUAUCAAUGUCCACACUCCCUUACCAAAGAAGAGGCCAAUUAGUUCAGCACGUGGGAGGUUAAAUUAAACCAGAAGUAAUGACCUAAUUACAAAAAAGGGAAUGGCAUAUGGUAAUAAAGAUCUCAUAAGAAAUGUAAUAUGUAAAUUAUAUCUUGCUUUAUGAUGUAAAAUAUACAUUGUUUGUGCUAGAAUAGAAAUGAUUUCUUUUCAAUAAAAUGAAAGAGUGAUA